rnacentral:rRNA from 1 species
CUUAGUGCGGACGGGUGAGUAACGCGUGGGCAACCUGCCCCGUGCCGGGGGAUACCGCCUGGAAACAGGCGCUAAUACCGCAUAAGCGCAUACAGCCGCAUGGCAGUAUGCGGAAAGCUCCGGCGGCACGGGAUGGGCCCGCGCCCGAUUAGCCAGUUGGCGGGGUAACGGCCCACCAAAGCGACGAUCGGUAGCCGGCCUGAGAGGGCGGACGGCCACAUUGGGACUGAGACACGGCCCAAACUCCUACGGGAGGCAGCAG